UACGUAGGGAGCAAGCGUUGUCCGGAUUCACUGGGCGUAAAGGGUGCGUAGGCGGGUGAAUAAGUCAGCGGUGAAAUCUUACGGCUCAACCGUGAAACUGCCGUUGAUACUGUUUUUCUUGAGUUCGGGAGAGGUUGAUGGAAUUCCAGGUGUAGCGGUGAAAUUCGUAGAUAUUCGCAAGAACACCAGUGGCGAAGGCGGCUCACUGGCACGAUACUGACGCUGAGGCACGAAAGCGUGGGGAGCAAACAGG
rnacentral:rRNA from 1 species